AUUUAUUUCACAGAGAGGAGAUUACAGAGUUGAGAGAGAGAGAUAGGACAAGGGGGUUUCGCAGAAGACGAGAUGGGUUUGGUCAGGAGACAUAGAGACACCAUUAGAGAAGUAACGGUCUCUAAGUAGGACACGUGUGGUUCGUGUAAUGGGGUCAAAGCUCAUGAGUCGACCAUGUGGUUUGCCUUCCCAUAUAUCAAACGCAAAAUGAUGGAGGUUGUAUUUGUAAGAAGCAUCUGUGAAAUACAAAAUGCCGUUAUCUCUAACGGCGACUGCAUCAGUGAGCUUGAACUUCACUCCUUCCGCUUCAUCUGUCAACAACUCCGUCUUCUUCCCGUCAUCGCUUAUAUUCAACAGCCCCUACACGCACGCACAAAAUUCAUCACCUCAUUCAGACACAGUGGCUAAGCCAGGUUAUAAGGUGUGGGGUGGAGUGCUUAAUUUUUUUUUCCUAAUUAAAAAAUGGACCAAUUGCAGGCUGCCACGUAUCAGUAGGAUCCGCGAACAGUGCAAGCAACGGUGCUUAAACAGGCUACAGAAAAGCUGCUGCUUAAAAUUUUAUGGGUUCCAUUAUUUUUUGUGAAGCACCUCCCUAAACACUUAGGGUAAAGAUGCUCUUAGAAACUUUGGGUAGGGGUUCUUAGGGAUGGGCAUUCGGGUACCCAUUCGGGUUCGGUUCGGGUCUAUUCGUGUUUCGGGUUUUCGGAGUCAAAGAUUUUAGCUCCAUUCGGGUAUUUCUAAAUUUCGGUUCGGGUUCGGUUUGGAUCUUUGCGGGUUCGGUUCGGGUUCGGAUAACCCAUUUAAAUGAUUUUUAAAAUUUAAAAAUUCAUUAUAUACUUUAAAUUUCUCAAAAUCUAUUAAUAAAAUAAAAUAUCACAUAUAAAUUUGAAUAACAUAUAUUAAAAUACUUAAACUUAACAUAUAAAUUGGUUUGGUUUCAAUAGAGAAUCAAUAGAUAUUUCAAGUAUUUUUGGUGUUUUGAGUAUUUUUUUAGUUAUUUUAGACAUUUACUUUUGACUAUUUGUAUAUAUUUUCAAAUAUCUUAAGCAACUUAAAAGUAUCUUAUAUAUUUUGGAUAUUUUUAGUAUACAUUAAAUCUAAAAUAAUUAAUAUAUUUAUGUAUACAAAUCUAUUUCGGAUACAUUCAGGUAUCCGAAAUACUUCGGUUCGGGUCGGGUUUAGAUUUGGUUCUUUAGAUACCAAAAUUUUGAACCCGUUUGAAUAUUUAAUCAAUUUUGGUUCGGAUUCGGUACUACUUUUUCUGAUCGGGUUCGGUUCGAUUUUUCGAAUUCAGACUUUUUGUCCAGCCCUAAGGGUUCUACACUAUUUAGUGGACUCCACAACUACAUACACAUAUAUAAUAUAUAUAUACAUACAUAUUCAUAUUUAGAAUUCUAAUGGAUAAACCCCCGUUGAAGAUGCUUUAAUCUACCCAAAUUAUCAGUAUAUUUUUUGUUUCAUAUUUCAAAAUCCGAAAUACCGAAUAAUUGAACUGAGCUGAAUAUGUUACUUUGGCUAGUUUCGGAAUAAUUUUGAAGACCAAAUUACCCACACAAAUAAAAACUAAAAACGUGAAAACCCCUUUUGUAAUUUAUAUUACAACUAUACUAGCCUUAUUCCAUCAAAUUGGUUUUGAAUGGAUUGGUUUAUGUUACAAAUAUACUAGCCUGGUCCAUAUACCAUUAUAUAUGAAUUACUAUGUCCUGCACACUGAAAGUUUUAUUGGAAUCACUGUUUCACGUUACUAAUAUUCGAGAAAGAAAAGAUCAUAUCAUCAUCUUUGUCUUUGCCAUGGGUUUACAUUGCGUGGCGGUGACAUGAUAACAAACGGAAGAGUUCAAAGCCUCUUUUGUGCAGGAUGUUUGAGGAGAUCGAGUCGGACUAUGUGUGAAUCCAAAAGACUCCCACAAUAGAGAUAUUUCCCAAUCUUUACUCCACUGGUUACGUGAGAGUGUUUAGGAUCAUGGUACAACGCGAUGGGCUUCCCAUCCAGAUCCACCUGCAAAACGCCAGCAUUCUCCAUAAUCAUGGUGUUGAAGCCGUACUUAGCCGCGAGGGCUUGGAGUUUCCUUAUGAAAGGGUAUCUAAACGAGAGCUUCCACAAAGUUGUUACUCCCUGAUUUUUAUUUUCAAAACAAUUAGGAAAAAAAAUUAAAAAAUGAUGAUACCAAAGCUGAAUCUUGUAGGAAGGCAAAAAUCUUGAUUGAAAAUCAUAAAGUUGAACAUUUCAAAUUGUGUAUAUAGUACCGAAGGCAUUGCAAUCCAGUAAUGUCCAUCUCCAUCGUACCGGAUGUUAUCUGGAUAACCUGGUAAGCUUUGAAUAAACACCUCCACACGCUCCUCGUUGAUGUAAUACUUGCUGCAUCUUCUUCUGAGAAAAACAAGAACACAAGUUGAGAUGAGUAUUUAUUUCACAGAGAGGAGAUUACACAGUUGAGAGAGAGAGAGAGAGACAGGACAAGGGGGUUUCGCAGAAGACGAGAUGGGUUUGGUCAGGAGACAUAGAGACACCAUUAGAGAAGUAACGGUCUCUAAGUAGGACACGUGUGGUUCGUGUAAUGGGGUCAAAGCUCAUGAGUCGACCAUGUGGUUUGCCUUCCCAUAUAUCAAACGCAAAAUGAUGGAGGUUGUAUUUGUAAGAAGCAUCUGUGAAAUACAAAAUGCCGUUAUCUCUAACGGCGACUGCAUCAGUGAGCUUGAACUUCACUCCUUCCGCUUCAUCUGUCAACAACUCCGUCUUCUUCCCGUCAUCGCUUAUAUUCAACAGCCCCU
rnacentral:lncRNA from 1 species